AUCCAUUUGCAAUCUAUAAUAUUUUUGUUAUCUGGCCGUGGUACUAAAGUCCAAUUUUUUAUUUAAAAAUAGAGAAUUUAAUUGCACCUUCCCAAUGAACUCUAUCGUCUCGUGUUUUAAACUGAAAGAUCAUCAGAAUGUGCAUUUGGUUGUUCAAAUUCGACGAUGUCAUGGUUAGUUUUGCGAAUUUUCUGAGGAACUUCAUAAUCAUCAGAUUUACAGGUAUCUGAUUUAUAUCUGUCAGUUUUUUGAGACUUUAUUGACUUUGAAAUGUUGUCAAUGUUAACAUUAUCAUGAGAAUUUACUAUAUUCUCUUCAGGUCGCAACGCAGGCCUGGAUUGAAGUAAUUUGUCUCAUCUACUAUGACAUCUCUGACACUAAUAAAUAUUUCGCAUUUAGGAUUCCAAACUUUAUAACCGUUUGGUUCGUAUCCCACAAGAAUACCUUUCCAUGACUUAACAUCGAAUUUUGUCUUAUAUAACUUAUCAUGCACAUAAACUGUUGAACCAAAAAAAUUAAAAUAUUUUAUUUGUGGUUUUUUGUUAUGCCACAUUUACGAAUUCAAUCAUCAUCUUAAUAUCGUACAGGUCUACUGAGAAAUCACUGGAUGGUUGUUAAUAGUGCUUACUCAAAUAUACCUUAUUCAUUAACACCAUUUCUCUGACUGACCAGAGAUAUGAUGAAGUACACAUUAAGAAUAGGAAUACUAUAGAGAGAUAUACCGGCAGAAGUUUUAGUUCCAACACUUGAUACAGUUUCAAGUCAAGAAGUUAAUG